GCCAGUCAAGGCAUGGCGCGCUAGCUCGAAGAGGAUAGAAGCAGCGUGGCUGGAAAUCACGUUGCUAGGCUAGGCGUGGCGAGGAAGAGCGUGUUCUUUCUUUCUUUUCCCUAGACGAUUGCAUACUGCAGACUAGGGCGGGAGCACCACAGCAGCGGCGAAGGCGCAGGACCAAUCUCGCAUGGAACCCAGCUCAGGUUCACAUCCAGGUUCGCAGCCCUUCCUCUUUUUUUAUAGGAAUGAGAAGCCAGUCGCCAAAGGCGAGCCGAUUUUCAAGCAUUAAGCUGAAGUUUUUGGAAGCGAGGAUAGACAAGGGUGAUAUAUGAAGAACAAAAGAAGGUUGCUUGUCCAACAGCAAGCAUAAACGAAGCUCAAGUCUCUAUAAGGACGAACUCGCGAGGAAAAGAAUGCAGGCAGCCAAAGAGCGAGGAACUCGGAGACGGUGAAGAUGCACGAAGAGCGUCAGCGUCGUCAGACUGAAAAGAAGAAGGAGCUUUGGUGGAGGCUGGGACGUGCCCACGAAGGCCGGCUGACGGAGAAUGUCAAAGAGGCUUUUGCUCGAGCGAACACACAGAAAGACAUUCGAUCAACACGCUGUUAGAGAUGAAAGUUUCUUUCUAGGCAUUUUACAGUUCCUACGUGGUCAAGCGCUGCGAGUUUUUAAUUGAGAAAGACUGGGAACAAUAUGUUUAGUUUGUUUUUCCUUUCCUUCUGAUCUAUGCCUGCAAACUAAAACAAAACUCUUGAUUGGA